GGGGGUAUAGUAUAAUUGGUAGUACAGCAAUCUUGCUCAUUGCUUGUCAAGGUUCAAAUCCUUGUAUCUCCA
rnacentral:ncRNA from 10 species